rnacentral:tRNA from 1 species
GCGGAUUUAGCUCAGUUGGGAGAGCGCAAAACUGAAAACUUAGAGGUCGCUAGUUCUAUCCGAGCAAUUCGCA